rnacentral:rRNA from 1 species
UACGGAGGGUGCGAGCGUUGUCCGGAAUCACUGGGCGUAAAGGGCGCGUAGGUGGCCGAGCAAGGUCGCGGUGAAAGCCCGGGGCUCAACCCCGGGUCGGCCGUGGCAACUACUCGGCUCGAGCACUGUAGGGGCGGGUGGAAUUCCGGGUGUAGCGGUGGAAUGCGUAGAUAUCGGGAGGAACACCUGUGGCGAGGGCGACCCCCUGGUUGGAUACUGACGCUGAUACGCGAAAGCGUGGGGAGCAAACAGG